rnacentral:rRNA from 1 species
AUUCCCUAGUAGCGGCGAGCGAAGCGGGAAGAGCUCAAAUUUAUAAUCUGGCACCUUCGGUGUCCGAGUUGUAAUCUCUAGAAAUGUUUUCCGCGUUGGACCGCACACAAGUCUGUUGGAAUACAGCGGCAUAGUGGUGAGACCCCCGUAUAUGGUGCGGACGCCCAGCGCUUUGUGAUACAUUUUCGAAGAGUCGAGUUGUUUGGGAAUGCAGCUCAAAUUGGGUGGUAAAUUCCAUCUAAAGCUAAAUAUUGGCGAGAGACCGAUAGCGAACAAGUACCGUGAGGGAAAGAUGAAAAGCACUUUGGAAAGAGAGUUAACAGUACGUGAAAUUGUUGGAAGGGAAACGCUUGAAGUCAGACUUGCUUGCCGAGCAAUCGGUUUGCAGGCCAGCAUCAGUUUUCCGGGAUGGAUAAUGGUAGAGAGAAGGUAGCAGUUUCGGCUGUGUUAUAGCUCUCUGCUGGAUACAUCUUGGGGGACUGAGGAACGCAGUGUGCCUUUGGCGGGGGUUUCGACCUCUUCACACUUAGGAUGCUGGUGGAAUGGCUUUAAACGACCCGUCUUGAAACACGGACCC